UACGGAGGGUGCUAGCGUUGUUCGGAAUUACUGGGCGUAAAGAGCACGUAGGCGGGCUCGUAAGUCGAUUGUGAAAGCCCAGGGCUCAAUCCUGGAAUUGCAGUCGAAACUACGAGUCUUGAAUGCCCAAGAGGGUGGCGGAAUUCCUGGUGUAGAAGUGAAAUUCGUAGAUAUCAGGAGGAACACCGGAGGCGAAGGCGGUUGCCUGGUGGUGCAUUGACGCUGAGGUGCGAAAGCGUGGGGAGCAAACAGG
rnacentral:rRNA from 1 species